GGCGAGGGGGGCGCGGGAAGUUUGCGGCAACUUCUCCAGCCGGAGCCGCCCGGCGCCGGGGUGCUCAACUUGGAGCCGGGAGUUGGAAAGCGGCGGCGCCUGGCGUGUCGAGCCCUCGCCGGCGGUAGGCAGAUAAGGUGAGUUCCCACGUUAACUGAGGCCAGGAGAUAUUUUGCUUGGUGCUUGUACAGAAGAACAGGAGUUGCUCCAUGCCGACAGAGCUUUGUGGUGUACAGAGAAGGAGAAGAAAAGCGCAUUUGACAUGAGUGCUGUUUGGGUGGGUAUCAUCAUUUGCUCUCCAGACUUGCUGCUUCUCUCAGGGGAGUUCCGUAGUAUUUUGAUUAGAAUUAAGGCAUGUGGUUGGAUUUUUAUGAAUGGUUUACCAUCAGCUAUUUCAGAGAGCAGAAUAAGCAUCCACAGUGAACGGACCUCAGCAGCACAAGUUUGCAAAAUACAAAAGGUGCCAGUUGCUUUUAAUUAGCAGAGGAGGAGGAUUUUGAGCGAAUUCGGUAACCGUGAUGAUUAAAUUCUCCAUUUAAAUAUGCUCUUUGUCUUUUUUGGUUUGGUGUAGUUUCUGCUUAUUAAGUAGUCAUUUUUAGCAUUUGUGAUCAGAUUACAGAACUGUCAUCCUCUUGCUUUUCCAAUUGAUUUGGUUUGCAAACUCCAAAACUCUGGGAUGCUUUUAACAAAUUGGUUUACAUUUUGACAGAACAGAGUUAAGUUAAUUAAUAGAUCAGGCACGGAAAAGCCUCCAUGGUAGGGUGUAUUUUCUGGUAAAAUGAAAGUUAUGUUUCAGCACGAUGAGCAUCAGGCUUCAGUAAUCUGUUCCUCGUGUGGAAUGAACACUUCCUACUUCGAGCUAGCAGGCACCUACUGUUUAUUUACGCUGCAUUAAACUGACAGCUCAGCAAUCAGAGGAAAAAUAUUACUUACCUUCCUGAAGUAAAUACCAGUUUAUAGGUUAGUGCACGUAUUUAUAUUCCUGUCACCACUAAAUAAUGGCCCUGUCUCCACUUUAAUAUCUACCUGUACUGUAAUCCAGGGCUUUAGACUCUUCCUGGUGGGGGUAGGGGUCGAGAAGAGUUUUCUUAUCAUUUCCCAGUGGCUAAACUUAAAAAAAAAAAAAGAAAAGAGUUAUUUCAUCUUCUCAUUUCUGUCCUGCAAGAAUCAGUUGAAAGAGAUAUUAUCCAUGUUUAUUUCACAUACCUCAACUGUUACAUCCAAAUCCCAAAAGAAUCCACAUGCCACUUAAAAUAGUCAUCUUAGAGCGACCUCGGGACAGAUAUGUUCAAACACAUUCAAGUGUACGUUUGCUAAAUUAAACUCUCUACAAAGUUCCAAAGAGAUAACUUCAACUAUUUGAUUACUUAGAUAGUAGCUUUGAUAAAAUGUCUUCUCUUCCAAGCCUUAGAUGGAAUGAUUCAGUUUUUAAUGGAGAUCAGCAAAUAUGCAUAUAAAGUGAAACACACUGAUGGAUGGGUGGAUUGGUACAGUUAGCUUUCCUCUGAAAAUCUUCUUGCCUUCUUCAUCUUUUUGUUUAAGCAGCCAACCUUGGAUCUCAACUUUUUUACAAUACUAAAUUCAGGUGUUUCUCCUUUUAAAUUGGAAGCCCAUUCUCUUUGGAGACCCUGGAAACAUCAAAAUAUAGUUAAAGUUGAGCUCCAAAACUUGUACUUAAUUUGAGAAAAUGCUUGUUAUCAAGGACAUUCUGUAAGUAGCUCUUAACACUCAGCCUGUCCACCCAGCUGUCAGUCUAAUCACAUCCUCCAUUGACAUCAGGGCAGAAUGUGGUCUUAAUGCAGCAUAUAAAUCAGAUCUGUUACCCAGGGUUCUUCUCCUUCCCUCCCGAAGAAAAAGUGUCUUCUGUGAUAAUUUAUAUAUCGUUCCUAAGUGCUAUUCUCAAUGGUAAGUCUAUUUCAACUUGAUGUCUUCAUAGAGCGUGAUCAACACAUUAACACACAUUAUUUAGUACUUUUGAACUCAUGCCAAUGGUACCUUUUGCUGUUUAUUUUUUAAAGUCUUUUUUAAGAUCAGAUAUUUCAUUUCAGAGUAAACAGAUACAGAUUGUGUGUGUAUAUAUUCAGGGUGAGAUUUAGUAGCUUAGCGUUUCUCCAGCAUAUUGGCCUAUUUUUAUGCUUUGAAGUUAUUCUGUGUCUCUUCCACAGUUGUUGCUGUCUGAAGGUUCGUAAAUAGAAAUUCUCAUCACCUCUUUCAAUGGACUUUCAAGGAUGUAAUUUGGUUUAUAUGGCAAUCCCAGCUUAGUUAUGAGAGAUGAAAAUCAGUUAACCAGUAUCCCGGCAUUUAUGUGCCUAGAUUUGGCUGACAUUUAUUCAGUCCAGUUAUUUGGUAUGUGGUAGUGAAGUGUCUUGUAAUCAAACAUUAAGAGUUGGUUCCGUUUUCCAGUGGAGAAACAGUCUUGCUGGAUAAAACCUUUAACUGUGCAAUAUUUUAUUGCGCUCAUCACUCAUUAGAGAGCCCGCUUAUCGUGGCACGGAUUUUUGCUGCA
ensembl:lncRNA